UACGAAGGGGGCUAGCGUUGCUCGGAAUUAUUGGGCGUAAAGCGCGCGUAGGCGGCUACUUAAGUCGGAUGUGAAAGCCCUUGGCUCAACUGAGGAAGUGCACCCGAAACUGAGUGGCUUGAGUACUAAAGAGGGUCGCGGAAUUCCCGGUGUAGAGGUGAAAUUCGUAGAUAUCGGGAGGAACACCGGUGGCGAAGGCGGCGACCUGGGUAGAUACUGACGCUGAGGCGCGAAAGCGUGGGGAGCAAACAGG
rnacentral:rRNA from 1 species